rnacentral:lncRNA from 1 species
UAAUUGACACUUCCUUGAGAGAACACCCAUAAGUUGACUCCCCAGAGCCAAACCAUCAUGGUCUAAAGGCCAAAAAGAGAUAAGAUAUAAGAGGUCUAUCUAUCUAAAAAGAGUAGAUGAAUCUUAACUUACCACAAGAAGAAGAGGAUUGUAAUAAAGAAAGGCUUCGUACAAAAACAAAUCUCGCAGGUCAAUACUCAUUCUCAUAACUGAAUCCCAUCCAAUCUGUUCUUUAAACAUGAUUAAAAAAAAUAUCAAGAUGUGCCAAAAAAAAUUCACAUUCAAAAAAUUUACAGAAGAGCACUAACCUUGCAGCAACAUAAAGCCCAUAAAAGAAACAAAACAACCUGAAAAGUUUUAUUCAGUGGAACAAAAAGCUUCAUGAAACGAUACCAUUAUAACAGAGAUGUAUGCACAAAUAAGUCUCUCAUCUCAGGAAGCAAACCUUAAAUCUCCAAAGGAAAAUAGGAGAGGGAACCAUUGUUGUAAUCUGAAGUGGUGAACUUGAUCCUUUAAGGUCACCCAUUUCUGAAUGCCCGCUUACACCUAAACCCAAUUAAGAAAUUAAAUCUCUUUGCAGGAAAAAGGAAUCAAACGUUUGGUAUGGAUUGUUAUCUAGGCGUAGAUUCCUUAGGAAGAAUCUUUAAAAGAAAUAAAACUACAAAUCAAAGUUUCUCACUCUCUUUUAUCCUCGUUUGCAAGGUAGGAAGAUCUGGUGGCCCACUUGACUCUUCUUCAAGUUCCUGGAAAAGUAGAUUAAUAACAAUGAUAAGACACCUAAACUUAUAAUACUCCAUUGAUAUUUUCAACAUAAACCAACCAACAAUUGCAAAAUAACAAUGUUAAAAAAGGAAUGAAUUUGAUUUGUAAAAUUCCAAAAGAUUGAACCUUUUUGGUUGGUAGACGAAACUCGUCAGAUUGUUCCUUUAUGUUCAUAUGUAGUUCACCUUUUGCAUUUACGUUCUUCAUCAAUAGCUUUACUUUUACCAGAUCCUGCCAGAAUCGAAACCUAGAGGUUCCUCUUCAUCAUCGCUACCAUCGUGAAAGUCGUCGGCCAAUCAGAACCCAGAGGCCCUUCUUAUUUUUCUUCUUCUUCUUCUUCUUCUUCUUCUUCUUCUUCUUCUUCUUAAACACCUUUCCUCUGUUUCUUCAAUGGAGGCUUAUGGGAUUCCGCCGCCUGAGUCUGCGACUUAGCUUCUUCUUCUUGCUAUGCCUAAGAGCAGCCAUAGCGACGGCUUCCACGACUUUGGGUUGACUUGAAGGAAACAAAGAGGUCGGCAUCGUUAUUGGGUUAAUGAGAAUAACAUUUAUUGGCGAAUUUAAGAGGAAUACGUUGAUCUAUAGGGGAGGUUAAGAGUUGAGAGAUGAAAUCAUGGUGUCUGCAGACAAAGAUUAGGGAAGAGUCGGAGACGGCUGUGUUAAAGAACUGAAGAACGAUAAAAAUAAAUCUCUAAUAUAACACAAAACGCAUGGACACGCGCGGAGCGUCUGACGUGGCACAUUUCUGAUUUCCUAUUGGCUGAUUAUAAUUGAGGAUGUGGAAGCAUGAGGGGAGCCCUUAUUCCCCUUUUAGUAUUGUAUGAUAACUUAUGUAAGUCACGAUAUGGAUAAUAACUAAGGCACUUUACUAUGAUAUAUAACACAUUAACACGUAACACACUUCACUAAGGCGUUCUUAAUUGCUAGUACUAAUCCUUGAGCACAUCUAAAAUUGUACAGUUAUCUAUAUUAUAUAAAACUGAAGUAUACAUUAAAAUUGUUUGGAAACAUGGAUAUCACUAUAAACGAGAAUUGUUUGUAAACAUGGAUAGCAGUAUAAAAAAUUAAUGCAGUGUCAUUUUAGUAAUGUCAGUAAUAAUUAUAUUAAUUAUCUUUUCAUAUUUUAUUUAAUUUAACAUUUUUAUUAAUUAUAUUACAUUAAUAAUACAUCACAUCAUUAAUUAUAUUACCAUAAUAAUAAUAAUGCAUAUUUUAUUUAUUAGUCAAUCAAAAUUAAUAUGUAGAUGUCACUCACACUGACGACAAUUCGCAAACCUUCUUCUACACUGCCUUGUGUCUUUUAUCUUUGAACUUGGAUGCUAUAAUCAUCCAACUGGAUAUCAGUAAAACAAAGACAUCACUCUCUUUUCAUCAGAAUUUAAUGAACACAAUUUUUAAAGGACUAACUUGUUAAAGAAAAGUAGACCUUGGAAUUCUCUGAUAAAUUUCUCUUCGGUUAGUCAGAAAAAUCUGCAAUGUCAAACAAAUUGAAAUCUUUCCUCAAGGCUAAAACCAAUACAAACCCAAUCUGGUCCACCAGAAAAUGGGGAAUAAGGGAGGUUGAGUUUCAGUAACCUUAAGGUGAGUAAGCGGAGAGAAAGAGAAAGAGUUGACAAACUUUUUCUAAAAGUCAAUUAUAGCCUUCCUCAGAUAGUCUUCCUUGUGAAUGUUUCUUUUGCAAAAAUCUUCUUCUCUAGAUUUCUAUCUUUUUCUUCAACACCAGCAAUGUGUUUCUGAGAAGAAGAGGAUAAAUCAAGACUGAAGCUCAGCUGCAUAUGGUCUCCCAAGCUCAGGGAGAGGGACAGUUCGAGCUGCGUUAUCCUCAAAGCAAAGUUGAGGAGGCAAAUCACGUUGCCUGGUAUCAAGAGGCAUGCUCUUGCAGUUAGGUAACUUUAAAGAGAACAAACACUGCAGGACCAAAAACAAAGGCAACAAUCAGUUCAAGAAAGAUAAAACUGAACAAUUACAUAAGAGCACUAAUGAGAAAAAGUUUAGUUGACAUACCGAUUGUUAAGUAGCUCAAUCAGGUGAAUGCAAUACUUCUGGUUACCCUUUUGAAUAAGUAGUGAAAGAAAGAAAGAAGAGGCAAGCGAACGAAAAAAAAAAACACAGCGGAAAAUGACAAAACCAACUACGUGACUGGUUUGAGUAGAAGUCUGAAGUAUUCAGCCUGAAAGAACCACAACAAUCAUAAGUGUUAGUAACCAUUCUUAAAAUAUAUUAUUAAGAUAAAACGAAUGUGCAGUGGAGUUACUCUAACAAAUAUCCUGCACCUGAAUGACUUCCUUAGGAAAUGAAAAGUUUCUUCAUUACAUCUAGAGUCCCACACAACGUUAUCAAUGGUAGCUAUGCAGUUAAAAAGGCUGCAUACAAUUAGGAAAGAGUAAGAGCAUUGUACGUACUUAGUAUUGUAUUGAAACUAAUUAAUAAUUACCUGAGCUGGUUCAUGUUUCACCUCAGAUGCAUUGACCAUAGCAGCAACGUCCUAGCAUAUCUUAUGUUCAAAGGGGCAUUCUAUCAAGAAGUAUCCAAAAUCGUCAAGACCACCAAACAUUUAUGACAGAAAAUUACCUGCAGCGCUCCAGGUCAUCUGUGGAGGCUCCAAAGGCAGGCUGAACUUCAUGGAUUGCAUGGAGAAAAUCCUCCAUCGUGAUCUUAAUAUUCUCUUCUUCCACUGGCUUUGUAAGAUCAUCCAUGCUUAACUGUCUGUUUAACGCAUAUGAUGUAGCACUUUUAACAACACCUUCAAGCUCCGCCCCACUGUAAUUUUUUGUUCGAGCAGCUGCCAGAACAUAUUGUCUUGGCACCCAAAAAAAAAGAGAAAAUAAAACAUACGUUUUUGUGUCAAGCAGCUCCUUGGGGAAAGAUCUCUUCUCAAGCUUGCCUGCAACAACAAAACUCUCUCGAUUUGCAUUAUUCCCAAACUAUCAUUGUAUUUUAGCAUAAAAUAAAACAUGUAUGUAUGGUAUUUAAUUAGUGUACCUUCUUGAGAGUCAGGGAUGUAUUUCGCAAUCCUAUACUUCUGAAAUUUUACCCAAGCGCUAUUGAAUAAAAACUUCUUAAAAACAAAACAAAAAAAUGUAAAGAGAGAAGAAGUAAUUGACACUUCCUUGAGAGAACACCCAUAAGUUGACUCCCCAGAGCCAAACCAUCAUGGUCUAAAGGCCAAAAAGAGAUAAGAUAUAAGAGGUCUAUCUAUCUAAAAAGAGUAGAUGAAUCUUAACUUACCACAAGAAGAAGAGGAUUGUAAUAAAGAAAGGCUUCGUACAAAAACAAAUCUCGCAGGUCAAUACUCAUUCUCAUAACUGAA